rnacentral:rRNA from 1 species
GACGAACGCUGGCGGCGUGCUUAACACAUGCAAGUCGAACGGAGUGGCGAACGGGUGACUAACACGUGGGUGAUCUGCCUUGCACUUCGGGAUAAGCUUGGGAACCUCGGUCGAAUACCGGAUAGUGCAAGAUGAGCUCGUGGCCUAUCAGCUUGUGGGUGUGGUAAUGGCCUACCAAGGCGUCGCCGGGUAGCCGGCCUGAGAGGGUGUACGGCCACAUUGGGACUGAGAUACGGCCCAGACGCCUACGGGAGUCAGCAGUGGUGAAUAUUGCACAAUGGGCGGAAGCCUGAUGCAGCGACGCCGCGUGGGUGAUGAAGGCGUUCGGGUUGUAAACUCCUGUCGACAGGGACGCGGUACCUGUAUAAGAAGCACAGGCUAACUACGUGCCAGCAGCCGCGGUAAUUC